CCACCCGACCCAGUCAGCGAUUACCCCUGAGUUAAGCAUAUCAAUAAGCGGAGGAAAAAACUUACAAGAUCCCCUAUAACGCCGAGCGAACCGAACAGCCCACCCUUAAGAAUCGGACGCCCCGCCUCGAAUUGUAUCUGGAGAAGCUCCUCAGCGGGGACCGGGCCCAAAGUCCCCUGGAAAGCCGCGGAGAGGUAUAGAGCCCCGUCGUGCCGCCACCCUGUCGCCACACAGCGCUCCCCUUUCCUCUACGAUCGUGUUUGGCGAAUGCAACCCCAUCGGCUGAAUUACCUGUCCAAGCAAAAAGCGCGAGAGACCGAUACGAACAAGUACUCGAGGAAAGAAUAAAGACUUGAAAAGAGAAGUCAAAGAGUGCUUAAAUUGUCGGAGAACGGAUGGAACCGCGAUGCGCCCGGAUAGUAUGUUGGAACGUAAGCGGUGUCCCGAUCUACUCGGGCACGACCAGCGAGAAUUCGGCGCGCCAAGCCCGGCCUUUAUACGGCCGCGAACGUCGUCUCUUGAUCUGCGGAAGCAGGCGGCCGCCCCUCGUCCUCGGCACCUGCCGCUCGCGCUGCCUGUGGCUGUCCAUUCGACCUCUUGAAACACGGACCCAAGGCUAGUCUACAGUGUCGAUCAACUGAGGCGAGUAAACCCGACUAAGGCGAAGAACUGAUUGGCGGGAUCCUCACGGGUGCACCGCCGACCGACCUUGAUCUUCUGAGAAGUGAGUUCGAGUGGCAGAGCUACCUGUCGGCGACCCGAAGCAUGGAACUAUGCACUGAGCGGGGCAAGCCAGAGGAAACUCUGGAGCCCACCGAUACUCUGCCAAAUCGUCUCUCUGACUUGUAUAGGCGCAAAGACUAAUCGAAACCGUCUAGUACUGGUUCCCUCUGAAUUUUCCCCAGGAACUGGACUGCGCCUGAGAGUUCCUAUCGAGUAAACCAAAUAUUAGAGCAUGCGUAACCCCUCGACCUAUCUCAACUUUAAAUAGAGGACGGCGCGGCUUGCUUUCGUUGAGCCGCCACGAAUCAACAGCUCCAAGUGCGGCCAUUUUUGUACAGCAUAACUUGUCGAUCGGGCACUGAACCGGAAGCCGGUUUACGGUGCCCCCAACUGCGCGACUAAACUAUAUCCACAAAGGGUGUUGGGGCGUCAUAAACAGUCAGACGGUGUCAUGGAAGUCGAAAUCCCUUAAGAGUGUGUAACCAACUCACCUCCAAUCAACUAGCCCCGAAAAUGAUGGCUUAAGUAGUCGCGCACCAUACCCACGUCGGGCAAGAGCUAGGCCCGAGAGUAGGACCGCGUUCGUCAAAAACCUUGCCGACCCGGCUGAGCGGCCGUCGGUCGAGUAUCUUGGUGGGGUAGUAGAAUAUUCAAAUGAGAAUUGAAGCCCGAAGAGGCAAAGGUUCCAUGUGCAACGGCACUCCACAUUUUAGUCUAUCCUAAGGGUCGGGGAAAGCACCGUGACAGACAGCCGUUUUGCCGCGGCGCCGAAGGAAUCGGGUAAAAUUCCUGUAACCGGGACUGCUCCCGUUAGCAACGUAGAUCCGGAGACGUCGCGGGGCCUCAGAAAGUUAUCUUUCGUUAACACCGCCCAACCCUUGGAAACGCUCAGCCGCAUGUAGGUCCAGCUUUGGAAGAGCACCACAGUCGCGUGGUGCCGUGCGCCCCGCGCCCUUAAAAUCCGGAGGACCAGCGUCCACGCCCGUCGUACAUCAUAAAACCGCAUCAUCUCCAAGGUAACAGCUCUGGACCAAAUGUAACAAUGUAGGCAAGGAAGUCUGCAAAAUCGAUUCCGUAACUUCGGGAAAAGAUUGCUCGAAGGCUGUGCACGGUCCCAGUCCCAAACCCGUCGGUGUUCGCGGACUGCCGAUCUACCGCGGCGAGACGGUCCCGCGUGCCGGGCGACUCGAACGGCCUCUUCGGGGGCCUUCCCGGCGUCGAACAGCCAGACUCAUAACUGUACGCAAUGGGAAUCCGACUGUUUAAUUAAAAACAAAGCAAUUGCAUUCCUGCGCAUCUAAACUCAAGUGAUUACUGCCCAGUGCCUCUGAAUGUCAAAUUAAAAAAUUCAACCAACGCGCGCGUAGUAAACGGCGGAUAACUAUGACUCUCUUAAGGUACCAAAUCCUUCAUAUAAUUAUAGACCGCAAAGAUAACGAUUCCCACUUCCUUCUACUAUCAGCGAAACCACAGCCAAGGAACUGGUCUUGCAUAUAUCAGCGGGAAAGAAUACUCCUGUGAGCUUGACUCAUAGUCCGAACUUUGGAAAGGACUGAGAGUAGGAUAAGUGGAGCCGGAAAGCGAAAUGAAAACCACUACUUUUAACGUUUUACUAUCCGUGAUUCGGAGGCGGGGCAUUCCCUCUUUUGACCCAAAGGCCGCUUGCGCCGAUCCGGGACGAAGAACAUUGUCAGUGGGAGUUGGCUGGGCGCCACACUCUGUUUAAAUAACGCAGAGGUUCUAAGAUGGAGUCUCAACGAGACAAACUGUGUGAACAAGAAGGGUAAAAAAGCUCUUGAUCUGAUUUCCAGUACGAAUACGAACCGUUGAAACGGCCAACAUCCUUUAGACCUUCGAAUUCGAAGAGAGUGUCAAAAAGUACCACAUAUAACUGGCUUUGCAGCCAAAGCGUCAUAGCCGACGUUGCUUUUUGAUCUUCAUCGCUCUUCCUAUAUUGUAAGCAGAUUCACAAGUGUUAUUGUUCACCACCAAUACGCCGAACGUGAGCUUGGUUUAGACCGUCGUAUACACUUAUUUUACCCUACUGAUGAACAGUUCGCAAUAGCUAAUUCAACCUAGUACGAAGGAAACCGCUUGAUUCCACAAUUCGUCAUCUGCCGCUUGUUGAAAACCAGUGGCGCGAACUACGUCGUUGGAUUAUGACUGAACGCUCUAAGUCAAUCCUGGCUAGACCACGCAUUCCGGCCUCGCCCGUUUGCGACCCGCCUGAGUAGGCCAUUUGCCCCAAGGCACGUCGUUGGCAAGCGUCGUGGCGGAAAUUCACGUGCCGCGCUUGAAAAAAUUUUACAAUCAGCAUCGCGCGAGCUAAUCCUUUGCCAGUACACUUAAAUACGCCGACGGAUAUGUAAGUGUAGAGUGCCUUCUCUCACGAUCCUCUGAAUUCAGCCCUUUUGUCGCUCCGAUUCGU
rfam:Ipomoea nil DNA, scaffold: scaffold1200, cultivar: Tokyo-kokei standard.